GACGAACGCUGGCGGCGUGCUUAACACAUGCAAGUCGAACGGUGAAGCACCUUCCUUUUGGGGGGUGUGGAUGAGUGGCGAAGGGGCGAGUCACACGUGAGUAACCUGCCCCCUUCUUCUGGAUAACCGCAUGAAAGUGUGGCUAAUACGGGAUAUUCUGGGUCUGUCGCAUGGCGGGCCUGGGUAAGCUAUUGGUUCGGGGGGGGAUGGGCGCGCGGUCUAUCCGCUUGGUGGUGGGGUGAGGGCCUACCGAGGCUGUGGCGGGUGGCCGGCCUGGGAGGGUGGCCGGUCACACUGGGGAGGAGGCACGGCCCAGCCGGGAAUGGGAGGCAGCAGUGGGUCAUACGGGACGAAGGGGUGAAGCAUGAUGCAGAGAGGGCGCGUGAGGGAUGGAGGCCUGCGGGGUGUAAACUUCUUUCGCUAGUGAAGUAGGCCUGUCCUUUUUGUGGGUGGGUUGACGGUAGCGGGAUAAGAAGCGCCGGCUAACUACGUG
rnacentral:rRNA from 1 species